AGAUUAUAAUGGAGAGUUUGAUCCUGGCUCAGAGUGAACGCUGGCGGCGUGCUUAACACAUGCAAGUCGAACGAGAACGGCCCCUGGCGUGCCAGGGGUGUCAGCUAAGUGGCGGACGGGUGAGUAAUGUAUAGCUAACGUGCCCUUUGGAGGGGGAUAACGACUGGAAACGGUCGCUAAUACCCCAUACUCCUUUCAA
rnacentral:rRNA from 1 species